UACGUAAGGUCCGAGCGUUGUCCGGAAUCAUUGGGCGUAAAGGGUUCGCAGGCGGCAUGGCAAGUCCGAUGUAAAAGGCGAAAGCUCAACUUUCGUAAGCAUCGGAAACUGUCAAGCUUGAGUGAAGGAGAGGCAAGUGGAAUUCCUAGUGUAGCGGUGGAAUGCGUAGAUAUUAGGAGGAAUACCGGUGGCGAAGGCGACUUACUGGGCUCAUUCUGACGCUGAGGAACGAAAGCGUGGGUAGCAAACAGG
rnacentral:rRNA from 1 species